AGCUAGGUGGGAGUUAAAAUAAAAAAUUACCCCACCUCUAUGUACAGCCAUCGGAUGAGGAGCCAGAGAGAUAAUUGUUAUUAUAGAACUCCAAAUAUAUGGCUUCGCUAUUAGAGGAUUUCUAUCGUUGGCUUCGCUAAAAUAGGACUCAAAACAUUUGGGCUUUGUUUUUCAUGACAUUUUGUACCUUUUAAACAUAUUUGGAGUCUCAAAUACAUGUAUUUUCUCAUAUUGACCGUAUUACCCUUCUGCUAAUCUCAUUUACCCGGCCCGUCUCGUCGUUUCAUCUCCACGCCGCCGCCCCCAUCCCGACGCUUCUCCACGCCGCCGCUCGCCACCUCUCCUUCUCUCCCGCGCCGGCGAUCUCUCGUUCUCCAUGGAUGGGGAGCCUCUAUCCGUGGACGCUGAGUCAUCGGACGUGGACGUACGCCGCCCUUGCCGUAGCCACAACAGAACGUGCUGGCCUGGCUGCGGCUGCACUUGGAGGCGCCGGUCUUGGAGGGUUGCCCGCAGCUCCUGGAUGCGGGGUGUGGCUCAUGGUGCUCCUGGAUCCCGGAGAAGCACUAGCCGGGACAGAACAUGGUGGCCUGGGUGUGGCUCAUGGUGCACUGGCUGGGGCUGACGAUGCCCUGCCACAAGUGGACAACUCCAGCGAUGCCGAUAUAUG
rnacentral:lncRNA from 1 species